rnacentral:rRNA from 1 species
GUCGAGCGGCGGACGGGUGAGUAAUGCCUAGGAAAUUGCCCUGAUGUGGGGGAUAACCAUUGGAAACGAUGGCUAAUACCGCAUAAUGCCUACGGGCCAAAGAGGGGGACCUUCGGGCCUCUCGCGUCAGGAUAUGCCUAGGUGGGAUUAGCUAGUUGGUGAGGUAAUGGCUCACCAAGGCGACGAUCCCUAGCUGGUCUGAGAGGAUGAUCAGCCACACUGGAACUGAGACACGGUCCAGACUCCUACGGGAGGCAGCAGUGGGGAAUAUUGCACAAUGGGCGCAAGCCUGAUGCAGCCAUGCCGCGUGUGUGAAGAAGGCCUUCGGGUUGUAAAGCACUUUCAGUCGUGAGGAAGGUGGUGUAGUUAAUAGCUGCAUUAUUUGACGUUAGCGACAGAAGAAGCACCGGCUAACUCCGUGCCAGCAGCCGCGGUAAUACGGAGGGUGCGAGCGUUAAUCGGAAUUACUGGGCGUAAAGCGCAUGCAGGUGGUUUGUUAAGUCAGAUGUGAAAGCCCGGGGCUCAACCUCGGAAUAGCAUUUGAAACUGGCAGACUAGAGUACUGUAGAGGGGGGUAGAAUUUCAGGUGUAGCGGUGAAAUGCGUAGAGAUCUGAAGGAAUACCGGUGGCGAAGGCGGCCCCCUGGACAGAUACUGACACUCAGAUGCGAAAGCGUGGGGAGCAAACAGGAUUAGAUACCCUGGUAGUCCACGCCGUAAACGAUGUCUACUUGGAGGUUGUGGCCUUGAGCCGUGGCUUUCGGAGCUAACGCGUUAAGUAGACCGCCUGGGGAGUACGGUCGCAAGAUUAAAACUCAAAUGAAUUGACGGGGGCCCGCACAAGCGGUGGAGCAUGUGGUUUAAUUCGAUGCAACGCGAAGAACCUUACCUACUCUUGACAUCCAGAGAACUUUCCAGAGAUGGAUUGGUGCCUUCGGGAACUCUGAGACAGGUGCUGCAUGGCUGUCGUCAGCUCGUGUUGUGAAAUGUUGGGUUAAGUCCCGCAACGAGCGCAACCCUUAUCCUUGUUUGCCAGCGAGUAAUGUCGGGAACUCCAGGGAGACUGCCGGUGAUAAACCGGAGGAAGGUGGGGACGACGUCAAGUCAUCAUGGCCCUUACGAGUAGGGCUACACACGUGCUACAAUGGCGCAUACAGAGGGCAGCAAGCUAGCGAUAGUGAGCGAAUCCCAAAAAGUGCGUCGUAGUCCGGAUUGGAGUCUGCAACUCGACUCCAUGAAGUCGGAAUCGCUAGUAAUCGUGGAUCAGAAUGCCACGGUGAAUACGUUCCCGGGCCUUGUACACACCGCCCGUCACACCAUGGGAGUGGGCUGCAAAAGAAGU